AUUGAACGCUGGCGGCAUGCCUUCCACAUUCAAGUCGAACGGUAACCGGUCUUCCGAUGCUGACGAGUGGCGAACGGGUGAGUAAUACAUCGGAACGUGGCCAGACGUGGGGGAUAACGAGGCGAAAGCUUUGCUAAUACCGCAUAAGAACUAAGGAUGAAAGCAGGGGACCGCAAGGCCUUGCGCGUUUGGAGCGGCCGAUGGCAGAUUAGGUAGUUGGUGGGAUAAAAGCUUACCAAGCCGACGAUCUGUAGCUGGUUUGAGAGGACGACCAGCCACACUGGGACUGAGACACGGCCCCGACUCCUACGGGAGGCAGCAGUGGGGAAUUUUGGACAAUGGGCGAAAGCCUGAUCCAGCAAUGCCGCGUGCUUGACGGGGGCCUUCGGGUUGUAAACUGCUUUUGUACGGAACGAAAAGACACUGGCUAAUACCUGGUGUUGAUGACUCUUAUAGGGGAAUAAGCACCGGCUAACUACGUG
rnacentral:rRNA from 1 species